rnacentral:lncRNA from 1 species
GUUGCAAGGUGGUGAAAACACACUUGGCACCUUUCUGCGUGAGAUCUGUCCUAGAGACAGUUUAUCACAUGGUAAACGAGCGUUGGCUCUGGGACUCAGUGACACUGCCUACGUGGCUGUGGUAAAAAGACUACAACACAGACAAGACCUUGGAACUGGACCUGCUAACUGGGGCCUCCAGAAGGGGAAGAAAGCCUUAACACAACACCUGGAAUCCAUCUGUGGGCAUCUGGGCUCAGACUUGCAGAGGUAACGUCAGCAAGGAGCCUGGCUGAACGAGCAAAUUGGGAAUUUAAUGCUGCUGCUUGCUGAUCAUUCUCUCUGCUUUAGGACACCCUCCUUCUCCUCAUAAUUAACGAGGAUCUGUCGUGUCCUGGCCUCUCAGGGAUAUGGACAUGUCCUCUGCCAGGUGACAGCUGGGGAAUCUCCUAACGUCUUACAUUCUAUUAGGGGCACUUGAAGACAGUAUCUCAACUCAAAAGAGUGCCUCCCACCAUAGGAUUCCAGGCACUGGCUCAGAGGGACUCAACUCUGGCUGCAGUGAAGAAGUUACGAGGCUAUACAAGCUUUAAGAAUGCAGGAGUCUUGCCCAUCUCGUUCACCGCAGUAUCUCCAGCUCCUGGCACGGAGGCUGGCCCAUAGUAGGUGCUCAUUAAAAAUGUGCUGACUGAAGGGUGGUCUGAUGUCACAGACUGCAGAAAGUUCCCCCAAAGGAAGAACUUAAUUUAUCUAAGGCAUUUCACAAAUCGUGGUAAUUGGGGAAUUAGAAAUGGCAUUUUAUUAAUUUUGGUGACUAGCUCAAUAACUGAACUAAUUUAUUCUAGAUGACUGAGCUAACUUAUCCCAGGUAGAAUUAUUCAUUAUUCCUCUCGCCGUCACCUACCCUUUGCUAACUGUUUAGAAGCCACGCAUCACUAGCAGUCCGAGAGGAGGCAAGCUGGAAGCUAAGCAAAAGAGAUUUACUAAAUACAAUGAAAGUUGCAUAUGCUUUAGGCAUCUAAAAAGGUGUGUCUAAUUUCUCCUAAUUUAAAAAGGGGUUAUAUUUUAUUGUUGCAAUUUAUUUGAGACAAACACACUAGGAUCUG